CCUACGGGAGGCUGCAGUGGGGAAUAUUCCACAAUGGGGGAAACCCUGAUGCAGCGACGCCGCGUGAGUGAAGAAGUAUUUCGGUAUGUAAAGCUCUAUCAGCAGGGACGAAAAAAGACGGUACCUGACUAAGAAGCCCCGGCUAACUACGUGCCAGCGGCCGCGGCAAGACGUAGGGGGCAAGCGUUAUCCGGAUUCACUGGGUGUAAAGUGAGCGUAGACGGCUGUGCAAGCCUGAAGUGAAAGGCGGGGGCCCAACCCGUGUACUGCAUUGGGAACUGGACGGCUGGAGUGCAGGAGAGGGAAGUGGAAUUCCUAGUGUAGCGGUGAAAUGCGUAGAUAUUAGGAGGAACACCAGUGGCGAAGGCGGCUUACUGGACUGUAACUGACGUUGAGGCUCGAAAGCGUGGGGAGCAAACAGGAUUAGAUACCCGAGUAGUC
rnacentral:rRNA from 1 species